rnacentral:rRNA from 1 species
UCCUGGCUAACUCCGUGCCAGCAGCCGCGGUAAUACGGAGGGGGCUAGCGUUAUUCGGAAUUAUUGGGCGUAAAGGGCGCGUAGGCUGGUUAAUAAGUUAAAAGUGAAAUCCCGAGGCUUAACCUUGGAAUUGCUUUUAAAACUAUUAAUCUAGAGAUUGAAAGAGGAUAGAGGAAUUCCUGAUGUAGAGGUACAAUUCGUAAAUAUUAGGAGGAACACCAGUGGCGAAGGCGUCUAUCUGGUUCAAAUCUGACGCUGAAGCGCGAAGGCGUGGGGAGCAAACAGGAUUAGAUACCCUGGUAGUCCAC